CUGGACAUGACCUGGAGGACCAGGAAAUAGAGAAGAAGAUGAUGGCUGAGAGAAAGAAGACUGAUCUAUACAGAUGGAAAGAAAGCAGCUGAUACAGACCAAAAUCUUAUUCUGGUCACAUUUGUCAACCAGAAAAUCUUGUCAGCACCCGUUUCCAAUCUAAGGCUGCUUCUCCGGGGUCGUGUCACCGUGGCAGCAAGCUAAGUAGGGCACUCUAGACAUCCCUCUCCCCAGCAACGC